CUUCCUCCUGCUGCUGGUCCCAUCUAUUGAUUCCCAGCUGCUGCCUUUCUACCUAAGCCUUGGUACAGAGGGAGAUGGAGUCAAACACAAGGUCCCCACUGGAUCUUUGGGAACGGCUCAAGGUGCUUGAAAUUCCCUCAGCCACAGGACUGUGGGUCUGUGCUGGAGCCACAAUUACCUCAUCACUGAUUCCACCUGGCCAGCCUUGUUGUCCUUGUUGUGGACACUGAGUGACAAUGGCAGUCCCCAGCAAACUGGGCACUGAGCUCUGGGCUGAAUCUGUCCCCAGCUGCCUGUUUAGGGCAAAGAUUAAUGACAGGAAAUAACCCCAAGUGCCUUCCCUGGGGACUCCUGUGCCUUGGCUCCUGGCUUACAAUCUCUUUUUCCUGCUUUAAGGCUGUGACAGAAGCACCUGGGCUGGAUGAAGCCAGGCCAGGCCCUGCCAGGGAGGACAAGAGGGGACAUUUCAGAGCAUCCUGAUAACAAAACGUGGCUUCAGAUUGCUGAGAUAACGCUGAGUGCCGACUGCACAUCAGAGAGGGAAUAACUUGGCUGGAAGAGGCUGGAUUGAUCCGCAGGGAAAAAUGUUCUGAGCGGGGCUGGGAGCGCUGGCACAUCGCAAACCCCAGCACAGCCCGGCCAGAGGGGGCCGGGACUGCGGGGAUGCCCGGGAGCUGCCGGCCUGGGCGCGCUCCCUCCGGGGGUUUGGCACCCUCUGCUGUCCAAAAAACCCCAGAACACCCCGGGAACCGGGCCGCUCGGGGAUGUAAAGGAGCAAAUCAAACUCUUAACGGAGUAAUUUUGGUGAUCAGCCCCCCAUACUCUUUCUUGCUGCAGCAAGUACUGAA